rnacentral:misc_RNA from 1 species
UUUCCGUAGGUGAACCUGCGGAAGGAUCAUUACUGAGUGAGGGCCCCUCGGGGUCCAACCUCCCACCCGUGUUUAACGAACCUUGUUGCUUUGGCGGGCCGUUAGGCUCCGGCCCGACUACCGGCCCCGGCUGGUAAGCGCCCGCCAGAGGACCCAAAACCCUGAAUAUUAGUGUCGUCUGAGUACUAUAUAAUAGUUAAAACUUUCAACAACGGAUCUCUUGGUUCUG